rnacentral:rRNA from 1 species
AUUGAACGCUGGCGGCAGGCUUAACACAUGCAAGUCGAACGGUAACAGGAAGCAGCUUGCUGCUUUGCUGACGAGUGGCGGACGGGUGAGUAAUGUCUGGGAAACUGCCUGAUGGAGGGGGAUAACUACUGGAAACGGUAGCUAAUACCGCAUAACGUCGCAAGACCAAAGAGGGGGACCUUAGGGCCUCUUGUCAUCGGAUGUGCCCAGAUGGGAUUAGCUAGUAGGUGGGGUAACGGCUCACCUAGGCGACGAUCCCUAGCUGGUCUGAGAGGAUGACCGGCCGCACUGGAGCGGGGACACGCUCCAGACUCCUACGGGAGGCAGCAGUGUGGAAUAUUGCACAGUAGGCGCAAGCCUGAUGCAGCCGUGCCGCGUGUAUGAAAAAGGCCUUCGGGUUGUAAAGUACUUUCAGCGGUGAGGAAGGGAGUAAAGUUAAUACCUUGGCUCAUUGACGUUACCCGCAGAAGAAGCACCGGCUAACUCCGUG